GGCCAGUGUUGCCUGAUCAUGGGCACCAGCCAUGCACAUGGCGAAGACGGGGCCUUCUGUCACUGUGAGGAGAGGCAUUUGUGCGCUCACCUGAGGGGAGCCUGCGAGCAAAGGGAAGGGGGUGCUUCCUGAGUAGCUGUACCGUGUCACUGGGGUGGCCCUUCUCUCCUUCCUUGUGAGCAGCUUGGCCAGAGUGCCAGCACUGACUGCACCCUGAAGCCACCCAGCCUAAGGUCAACCUGCAGUGACCUCUUCCAAGUCACGGUGCCUACACAGCUCGGUUUAUCCAUGAACAAAAAUGGCAGCAACAGUUCUUCAGAUGGCACCAAGAGCUUGACUCAGCUGGACGGCGACCCCACACUCCUGCUGCCGUGGGUAGUGGACAAAGAUGCGCUGGAUCACGUUGCGCGGCCGGAAGACCUCCUUGGGGAAAACAUCCAGCAG